UCUCGGUUCGGAUUGGAGUCUGCAACCCGACUCCAUGAAGCUGGAUUCGCUAGUAAUCGCGCAUCAGCCACGGCGCGGUGAAUACGUUCCCGGGCCUUGUACACACCGCCCGUCAAGCCAUGGAAGCCGGGAGUGCCUGAAGUACGCGACCGCAAGGAGCGUCCUAAGGUAAAACCGGUGACUGGGGCUAAGUCGUAACAAGGUAAC
rnacentral:rRNA from 1 species